GAGUUAUUGGUAAAUCUCGUGGUCAACUGGUUCAAAUUUUGUAUCCAAAGUGUAACCAGCAGCUAGAUUCAUGGGAAUGUGGCUUCUAUGUGAUGUGUUGGAUUAAGACCAUCAUUCGAGCUGUCAUUACAGAUGACUGGAAUGAGCGCUUCAAGAGUACAUCGCCUAUUCCAGAGGACACAAUUAAACAGAUAAGGCAGGAGUGGACCGCUUAU